rnacentral:rRNA from 1 species
UACAGAGGGUGCGAGCGUUAAUCGGAAUUACUGGGCGUAAAGCGUGCGUAGACGGUUAUGUAAGUCGGGUGUGAAAGCCCCGGGCUUAACCUGGGAACUGCAUUGGUGACUGCAUUGCUCGAGUAUGGCAGAGGGGGGUGGAAUUCCACGUGUAGCAGUGAAAUGCGUAGAGAUGUGGAGGAACACCGAUGGCGAAGGCAGCCCCCUGGGCCAAUACUGACGCUCAUGCACGAAAGCGUGGGGAGCAAACAGG